UACGUAGGGUGCGAGCGUUGUCCGGAAUUACUGGGCGUAAAGCGUGCGUAGGUGGUUCGUUAAGUCUGUCGUGAAAGCCCCGGGCUCAACCUGGGAAUGGCGAUGGUGACUGCAAGGCUAGAGUUUGGCAGAGGGGGGUAGAAUUCCACGUGUAGCAGUGAAAUGCGUAGAUAUGUGGAGGAACACCGAUGGCGAAGGCAGCCCCCUGGGUCAAAACUGACGCUCAUGCACGAAAGCGUGGGGAGCAAACAGG
rnacentral:rRNA from 1 species